GCCCAGGUGGUGGAAUUGGUAGACACGCAGGUCUCAGAAGCCUGUGCCUACAAGCAUGGGGGUUCGAGUCCCCCCUUGGGCACCA
rnacentral:tRNA from 1 species